rnacentral:lncRNA from 1 species
GGCUUCUGCGUUUCUUCUACACUAGGGCUUCCACAUUUCUUCUUCCACACGACGGAUUCCGCGUUUCUUCUUCCACAUUAUGGUUCCCGCGUUUCUUCUUUCACACUACGAUUUUUGCGUGCUAAGCUUCUUCUUCCAUACUACGAUGCUGAAGCUUCUCCUUCCACCCUACGGUAACCCUUCCGCUUGUUUGGUUCAAUCUGAUGCAUUUCUUCAUUUCCUUCGA